GACGAACUGUGCGAACGUUAUUCGGAAUCACUGGGCUUACAGGGUGCGUAGGCGGCUUGUUAAGUAGGGCGUGAAAUCCCCCGGCCCAACCGGGGAAUGGCGCUCUAAACUAGCAGGCUUGAGUGAGCUAGGGGUACACGGAACUUCCAGUGGAGCGGUGAAAUGUGUUGAUAUUGGAAGGAACACCGGAGGCGAAAGCGGUGUACUGGGGCUCAACUGACGCUGAGGCACGAAAGCCAGGGGAGCGAACGGG
rnacentral:rRNA from 1 species